GUUCAUCCACUUAAGUAAGUCAGAGAUACAUUACAUCCAGCCUCAUCUGUUUGUAUGAUACUAAUGGGACUAUUCGGAGCCGCUACUGAGAUCUGCCCACGUACGCAAUGAUUUCUUCGGAAAGCCUGUAGGAAAGUGACAAGAAGUCCUGCAGGCAAGACGACACCAUAAAGAGUAAGGAUAUAAACUCCCAGACUCCGGAAUACUGUGAUAGGAGAAUUCGGGGGUCAGGGCAGAAAACGAGCUCCGAGUUGCGUUUGGUAAAAGCAAUUUGUGAAACUGAAGGAGAUAACAGAGAAAGGAUGAAGAAAGAAGGACAGAAAA